AGUAGUUCGUCCGAUUUCGGUUAGCUACGAUUUCAACUGGACUGUAUAUAAUCUAAUAUACUGCCGUUGUUUAUCCAUCGCCAUGCCGUGCAGUUUGCGAACAGUCAUCGUUCGUGUAAAUUUCAAGUACAACAAUCAGAUCUGCGCCACCGUGUACAUAACAAUAUUUGUGUACAGGUUUUCGUUGUGAAUUAUACGUACAAAGUACACCAGAUGAAUAUUUCAGACGUAGUUUAAUGAAUCUACCCCAACUCCGGAUUGCAAAAUACAAAUGAUAAUAGCACAAUAA